CCUACGGGAGGCAGCAGUGAGGAAUAUUGGUCAAUGGACGCAAGUCUGAACCAGCCAUGCCGCGUGCAGGAAGACGGCUCUCGGAGUUGUAAACUGCUUUUGUACGAAGGAAAAUCCCGAUACGUGUAUCGGGUUGAAAUGAUCGUACUAUUAAGGAUCGGCUAACUCCGUGCCAGCAGCCGCGGUAAUGCGGAGGAUUCAAGCGUUAUCCGGAUUUGAUGGGUUUAAGGGGUGCGUAGGCGGUUCGAUAAGUUAGAGGUGAAAUCCCCGGGCUGAACUCCGGCACUGCAUCUGAUACUGUCGGGCUAGAGUUUAGUUGAGGUAGGCGGAAUGUAAGGUGUAGCGGUGAAAUGCGUAGAGAUCAUACAGAACACCGAUUGCGAAGGCAGCUUACCAAACUACGACUGACGUUGAGGCACGAAAGCGUGGGGAGCAAACAGGAUUAGAUACCCUAGUAGUC
rnacentral:rRNA from 1 species